rnacentral:rRNA from 1 species
GUGGGGAAUUUUGGACAAUGGGUGCAAGCCUGAUCCAGCAAUGCCGCGUGCAGGAUGAAGGCCUUCGGGUUGUAAACUGCUUUUGUACGGAACGAAAAAGCUCUCUCUAAUACAGGGGGUGAAUGACGGUACCGUAAGAAUAAGCACCGGCUAACUACGUGCCAGCAGCCGCGGUAAUACGUAGGGUGCAAGCGUUAAUCGGCAUUACUGGGCGUAAAGCGUGCGCAGGCGGUUUUGUAAGACAGAGGUGAAAUCCCUGGGCUCAACCUGGGAACUGCCUUUGUGACUGCAAAGCUGGAGUGCGGCAGAGGGGGAUGGAAUUCCGCGUGUAGCAGUGAAAUGCGUAGAUAUGCGGAGGAACACCGAUGGCGAAGACAAUCCCCUGGGCCUGCACUGACGCUCAUGCACGAAAGCGUGGGGAGCAAACAGGAUUAGAUACCCCGGUAGUCC